rnacentral:rRNA from 1 species
UACGGAGGGGGCAAGCGUUGUUCGGAAUUACUGGGCGUAAAGCGUGCGCAGGCGGUUCGUUGUGUCGGCGGUGAAAGCCCCGGGCUCAACCUGGGAAUGGCCGUUGAAACUGGCGAACUGGAGUGUGGCAGAGGGGGGUGGAAUUCCGCGUGUAGCAGUGAAAUGCGUAGAGAUGCGGAGGAACACCGAUGGCGAAGGCAGCCCCCCUGGGCUGACACUGACGCUCAGGCACGAAAGCGUGGGGAGCAAACAGG